CUUCUGUGGCCCUAACCAGGCUCUCCCUGAGUUGGGAGUGAGUUUCCAGAGAGCAGGGCUCUACACUUGGACAGACUGGGCAGGAGAGGCUCCAAGUAGGCAGCUGUAUCUGUCACCAGAGCUUGGAACAGAUUCCUG
ensembl:ribozyme RNaseP_nuc Nuclear RNase P